rnacentral:rRNA from 1 species
AUUGAACGCUGGCGGCAGGCUUAACACAUGCAAGUCGAGCGGAGAUGAGGUGCUUGCACCUUAUCUUAGCGGCGGACGGGUGAGUAAUGCUUGGGAAUCUGCCUAUUAGUGGGGGACAACAUUCCGAAAGGAAUGCUAAUACCGCAUACGUCCUACGGGAGAAAGCAGGGGAUCUUCGGACCUUGCGCUAAUAGAUGAGCUUAAGUCGGAUUAGCUAGUUGGUGGGGUAAAGGCCUACCAAGGCGACGAUCUGUAGCGGUUCUGAGAGGAUGAUCCGCCACACUGGGACUGAGACACGGCCCAGACUCCUACGGGAGGCAGCAGUGGGGUAUAUUGGACAAUGGGGGGAACCCUGAUCCAGCCAUGCCGCGUGUGUGAAGAAGGCCUUAUGGUUGUAAAGCACUUUAAGCGAGGAGGAGGCUACUGAGACUAAUACUCUUGGAUAGUGGACGUUACUCGCAGAAUAAGCACCGGCUAACUCUGUGCCAGCCGCCGCAGUAAGAC